GCUGGGCAUGAUGGCUCAUGCCCGUAAUCCCAUUACUUUGGGAGGCUGAGGCAGGUGGAUCACCAGAGGUCGGGAGUUCAAGACCAGCCUGACCAACAUGGCGAAACCCUGUCUCUA
ensembl:misc_RNA Metazoa_SRP Metazoan signal recognition particle RNA